GUCUAUGGCCAUGCCACCCUGAACAAGCCCGAUCCCAUCUGAUCUCAGAAGCUAAGCAGGGUUGGGCCUGGUUAGUACUGAGAUGGGAGACCACCUAGGAAGACCAGGUGCUGUAGGCA
rnacentral:rRNA from 1 species